AGGCGGCUUGACGGACGACAGGGCCACGACCUCACUGGCAGGUUUUUUCGAAGGCAUCACAAGGGUGGAAGGAGUAGCAACAGGCUCAGAGGAGGACGGGGCCACGAAAUACGGGGCAAGUAUAGGUUUGUUCGACGGUCUCACAAGGGUGGAAGGAGUGGCAGGUAAACCUAUCCCUCCUCCUCCGUGUUGUUCUUCGGGCUCCCGAGUGGUCCGUCGGAGGAACUCAAAGGGUCCGUCGGUGCAGGUGGAGGCGAAGGGUCUGUCGGAGGACGCAGAGGGUCUGUCGGUGGAGGCAAAGGGUCUGUCGGAGGACGUAAAGGGUCUGUCAGCGGCGGAUGGGGCCACGACCUUGCUGGCAGGUUUGUUCGACGGUCCACAAGGGUGGAAGGAGUUGGAAGCGGCUCGACGGAGGAUGGGGCCAGUAUAGGUUUGUUCGAAGGCAUCACAAGGGUGGAAGGAGUAGCAACGGGCUCAGAGGAGGACGGGGCCACGAAAUACAGGAAGAAGUGGCAGGCGGCUUGACGGACGACGGGGCCACGACCUCACUGGCAGGUUUCUUCGAAGGCGUCACAAGGGUGGAAGGAGUAGCAACAGGCUCAGAGGAGGACGGGGCCACGAAAUACGGGGCAAGUAUAAGUUUGUUUGAAGGCAUCACAAGGGUGGAAGGAUUAGCAACAGGCUCAGAGGAGGACGGGGUUACGAAAUACGGGGCAAGUAUAGGUUUGUUCGACGGUGUCACAAGGGUGGAAGGAGUGGCAGGUAACCCUAUCCCUCCUCCUACGUGUUGUUCUUCGGGCUCCCGAGUGGUCCGUCGGAGGAACGCAAAGGGUCCGUCGGUGCAAGUGGAGGCGAAGGGUCUGUCGGAGGAAGCGGAGGGUCUGUCGGUGGAGGCAAAGGGUCAGUCGGAGGACGCAAAGGGUCCGUCGGUGCAAGAAAUGAAACAAAAAUACAAAUAAGAGCUCAAGUAUAUUGCUAUUCAUGUAGGUCAUCCUGCUUGAAUGUUCAGAUGUGUUAAACCCUGGUUGUAGGUGUGGGUCACUGUAAUGUUAGGUCAGCAGGUUGUUAGGCAGAGCUAAAAGUGUAUAAUAUAGUCUGAAGUAAAAUGCACAGUAUAUUCAAAAUAAUGCAGUGAGCAGUGAUCUUAAUCCAGAGCUCAAAUUACUUCAGUAUACUACACACACACACACACACACUAUUAUGGACCAACAAAUACCUAAACCCGGUUUCUGGGUGUGGGUCCCUUCAAUGUUAGGUCUGCAGGCCUGACCACAGUUCAAGUAUGUCUAUAUAGUAUCUAUAGUCUUAAGUGAAAUACACAUUACAUUCCUACUAAUGAAGUGAGCGGUGGUGUUAAUCCAGAGCUCAAGUUAAAUCUGUAGAAUAUACACACACACACACAGUUAUAGACCAACACAAAGCUAAACCCAGUUCCUCGGUGCGGGUCCCUUUAAUGUUAGAUCCGCCUGCCCAGAGCUCAAGUACAUCACAUAGUCUCAAGUGAAAUGCACAUUAUAUUCCAACUAAUGAAGUGAGCGGUGUUGUUAAUCCAGAGCUCAAGUUACAUCUGUAGAAUACACACACACACACACACACACACACACACACACACCAUUAUAGACCAACACAUACCUAAACCCGGUUUCUGGGUGUGGGUCCCUUCAAUGUUAGGUCCUGCCCAGAGCUCAAGUAGUAAAAAUACACACUAUAUUCAAACUAAUGCAGCGAGCAGUGAUCUUAAAAGUAUCAACAAGUAACUCACAGUUCUCGCAGCCGAGGGACGGCGGGUUUGUUCGACGAGCUGAACGGAAGAGAGAAUCCUCCAAACCUCCUCUCGCUAGAAAGCGGCCUAGGUCUGAAGCAGAACAGAAGAGACACUCCUCCAAGCCUUCCCUGACUCUUCUUCCUUGUUCUUCGGGCUCCUGAGUGGUCCGUCGGAGGACGCGGAGGGUCUGUCGGUUGAGGCGAAGGGUCUGUCGGAGGACGUAAAGGGUCGGAUGGGGCCACAACCUCACUGGCAGGUUUGUUCGACGGUGUCACAAUGGUGGAAAGAGUGGCAGGCAGAUUGAUGGAGGACGGGGCCACGACCUCACUGGCAGGUUUGUGCGUUCAAUAUUGUCAGAACAUGCAAAAGGCAAAUGACCGCUACAUUGCGAGAGAACUGGCUUUGCUGAGGGCGUCCAAAACCCACCCGCCGAUGGCCUCUACUUCCUCCUCCAUGUCCUGGUCCUCUACCUCCUCCUCUAUGUUGUUCUUCGGGCUCUUGAGUGGUUACAUCGUAGCGGUGACUGGGCACAGAAAAGGCGUCGUCCUCAACAUGACGCGGAAAGAGGUCAAAGCGGCAGACAAAUUGAAGAACGGCAAUCGCAUCAUACGGCGGAAAGCCCGGCCGAGGUCUUUAACAGCCAAAACCUAUCCGUCACGGCGAUCUCAGCUUACGCUGUCAAGAAGACAAAUCAAAGCACCUAGGACACGAGAGCCACAGAGGACACGGACGAGGUGGAGAACCGGGACAGUGAGUAGGACGAGGAAGACCAGGACAUAGGGGACAUAGAGGAGGAGGAGGAAGAACAAGAGGAGGAUGAGG